GACGAACGCUGGCGGCGUGCUUAACACAUGCAAGUCGAACGGUGAAGCGCCUUCCUUUUUGGUGGGUGUGGAUGAGUGGCGAACGGGUGAGUAACACGUGAGUAACCUGCCCCCUUCUUCUGGAUAACCGCAUGAAAGUGUGGCUAAUACGGGAUAUUCUGGGUCUGUCGCAUGAUGGGUCUGGGAAAGAUAUUGUUUCGGUGGGGGAUGGGCUCGCGGCCUAUCAGCUUGUUGGUGGGGUGAUGGCCUACCAAGGCGGUGACGGGUAGCCGGCCUGAGAAGGUGGACGGUCACGCUGGGACGGAGACACGGCCCAGACUCCUACGGGACGCAGCAGUGGGGAAUAUUGGACAAUGGGGGGAAGCCUGAUGCAGCGACGCCGCGUGAGGGAUGGAGGCCUUCGGGUUGUGAACCUCUUUCGCCAGUGAAGCAGACCUGCCUCGUUUGUGGGUGGGUUGACGGUAGCUGGAUAAGAAGCGCCGGCUAACUACGUG
rnacentral:rRNA from 1 species